rnacentral:rRNA from 1 species
AGUCGAGGGGUAUGGUUCUUCGGAACCAGAGACCGGCGCACGGGUGCGUAACGCGUAUGCAAUCUGCCUUUCACAGAGGGAUAGCCCAGAGAAAUUUGGAUUAAUACCUCAUAGUAUAGCGACAUCGCAUGAUGAUGCUAUUAAAGUCACAACGGUGAAAGAUGAGCAUGCGUCCCAUUAGCUAGUUGGUAAGGUAACGGCUUACCAAGGCAACGAUGGGUAGGGGUCCUGAGAGGGAGAUCCCCCACACUGGUACUGAGACACGGACCAGACUCCUACGGGAGGCAGCAGUGAGGAAUAUUGGUCAAUGGGCGCAGGCCUGAACCAGCCAUGCCGCGUGCAGGAUGACGGUCCUAUGGAUUGUAAACUGCUUUUGCACAGGAAGAAACACUGAUUCGUGAAUCAGCUUGACGGUACUGUGAGAAUAAGGAUCGGCUAACUCCGUGCCAGCAGCCGCGGUAAUACGGAGGAUCCAAGCGUUAUCCGGAAUCAUUGGGUUUAAAGGGUCCGUAGGCGGUCUGGUAAGUCAGUGGUGAAAGCCCAUCGCUCAACGGUGGAACGGCCAUUGAUACUGCUGGACUUGAAUUAUUAGGAAGUAACUAGAAUAUGUAGUGUAGCGGUGAAAUGCUUAGAGAUUACAUGGAAUACCAAUUGCGAAGGCAGGUUACUACUAAUGGAUUGACGCUGAUGGACGAAAGCGUGGGUAGCGAACAGGAUUAGAUACCCUGGUAGUCCACGCCGUAAACGAUGGAUACUAGCUGUUGGAAGCAAUUUCAGUGGCUAAGCGAAAGUGAUAAGUAUCCCACCU